AACGAACGCUGGCGGCAGGCCUAACACAUGCAAGUCGAACGCUCCGCAAGGGGAGUGGCGCACGGGUGAGUAACACGUGGGAACCUACCUUCUGGUACGGAACAACCAAGGGAAACUUUGGCUAAGACCGUAUACGACCUCCGGGUGAAAGAUUGAUCGCCGGAAGAGGGGCCCGCGUCCGAUUAGGUAGUUGGUGAGGUAACGGCUCACCAAGCCUUCGAUCGGUAGCUGGUCUGAGAGGAUGACCAGCCACACUGGGACUGAGACACGGCCAGACUCCUACGGGAGGCAGCAGUGGGGAAUCUUGCGCAAUGGGCGAAAGCCUGACGCAGCGACGCCGCGUGAGGGAUGACGGCC
rnacentral:rRNA from 1 species